AUGGCUAAAAAUAUGCCAUGUCAUUCUCUUAAAAAAAAAAUUUCUCUCUUUUUCCUUCUUUUCCUCUUUCUCCCGUCAGCACUCUCAUAGUCUGAGCAUCAGAGGUGUUCAGUUCAAAACAUGCUGGAAAUUUUUUGUUGCAGUUUGGUUGCGUGCGACUGCGAGGGACACACCCAAGAAACUGUGGCAGUUGGGACUGAUGUGGCGGUGAGUGUUGUGGCCAGAGCGUUGACGCCGUCGAGGCUAGCUAGGUCCGGCGUUGGCUCACGAAACGGAGGUCCUCCGAUGAGCUUGCGGUAGAGCGAAACUAGAUAAGUUGGGCCGUUUGGUUCGACGGCAAAGGCUGGGUUUUUUUUAAUGUGGUUUUGGUUUCUCUAGAUUUGCGAAUAUGGGUAGAAUGAAUAUGCGUUGUGGGUGGUUGAUGGGUUGAUAAUAGAUGGUGGUUUUGGAGAAUUGGAUCAGAUUUGAUGUGAGUUUCAGGCAUGAGAAUUCACAGAUAAAUCCCACCAUCAAUAAAAGUUCAAGGCAAGUCCUGCGCCUUUGCCAUCGUUUCCGAUGGCUCUGUCCUAUUCGCUGCAAAGUCGUUGUAAGACGCAUCAUCUCCAAUGGCUCCAUCCUGUUUGCUCAAAGGCGUUGUUGCAUCAGUGGUGGUUCCGGUGGGUUUGCAAGGAGAUUGCUAAAACGGUAAGUGUAAACACUGAUACUGUACAUCUUUCUUAGAGGGAGAGAUAGAGAGAGAGGAUGUGGAUGUCGGUGGUGGUGGCAAGAGAUGCUGUCUCGUCCAGACAAGGUGGAGCAGUAUGGAGGAGGUUCUAUGCAACUCAAAACCCGAAACACAAGGUACCUGCUUCUUCAUCUUCUAUAACUCAAACUCAAACACAAACUGAGUCUGAAUUUCCUGUUUUCUCAACAAAUUGGGGUUUUCCCAAAAGAUUAUUUAUUUGCCAAAACCCCAGGUUCUACUCUGAGACCUCAACAAACCCCACUGAUUUUUAGGAGUCCUCAGUGGGUUUUGUUGAAAAUGGUGAUACCCAGUUGGAGAAUUCUGAGAUUCAUGGGGUUUCUGAGCAAGGUUUAGUUGGUAUUGAUGAAAAUAGGGAUACCCAGUUGGAUAGUUUUGUCCCUGGGGAUGGGGAUGAGAUUUUUGGGGUCUCAGACCAAUCUGGUGAUUCCCAGUUUGAUACUUUUGCCACUGGGGAGGAAAAUGGGGAUGAAAAGGAGGAGGUUUAUGAGAUUAAUGUGGAGCAGUUGGAGAAUGUGUUGUCGUUAUUGCAGAGUAGUGUUGAUGGGUCUUUAGAGUCAGCUCUUGAUGACAUGGGUUUGACUCUACAUGAGGAGUUUGUGGUGAAAGUUCUGGAAACCCCACUUGUUUUGGGUGAGAAUUUGAUUAGGUUUUUCAAGUGGGGUUUAAAGAAGAAAUCUGAGUUUAAGGUGACUACCUGUGUGGUGGAUGUGCUAGUGUGGGCAAUUUGUCGUGAACUUAAGAAGAAAGAUGCAUAUGCUUUGUGGGAUUUGAUUAAGGAGAUAGGUGAGAAAGAGAAUGGUGUGUUGAAUGUGAAGAUUCUCAAUCAGUUGAUAGCUUUGUUAUCGAAAUUGGGAAAAGGGAAGGCGAGUUGGGAGGUAUUUAACAAGUUUGGGGAUUUUGGGUGUGUCCCAAAUGUUGAUACGGAUUAUUUCACGAUUGAAGCACUAUCUAGGCGAUCAAUGUUUGGCUGGGCUUGGUCUGUUUGUGAAAAGAUGCUUGAUGAGGGAAGUUUGCCUGAGAAUGAGAAAGUGGGUAAGAUCAUAUCUUGGCUUUGUAAGGGGAGGAAGGCUAAGGAUGCCCAUUCAGUAUAUUUAUUUGCGAAGGAGAAGAACCAAAUUACUCCUCGAUCUUCUGUUAAUUUUUUGAUCAGUUCACUCUGUAGAGAGGAUGAAACUGUGAAAUUGGCUUUGGAGAUGUUGGAUGAUUUUUCAGGAGAAGCACGGAAAUAUGCAAUUAAGCCGUUUUCUACUGUCAUUCAUGGUUUGUGUAGGAUGAAAGAUGUCGAUGGGGCAAAACAGUUGCUUUCUAAGAUGAUCACAGAGGGUCUGCCCCCUGGAAAUGUAGUUUUCAAUUCAAUUAUCAGUGGAUAUUCCAAGGCUGGGGAUCUGGGAGAAGCUAUACAGAUUAAGAAGCUGAUGGAGAGUAGGGGAUUGAAACCGGAUGUGUACACAUAUACUGUCAUCAUGAGUGGUUACACAAAUGGUGGUCAGAUGGAGGAGGCUUGUAAACUCUUGUCAGAAGCAAAAAAGAAGCAUUCUAAACUGACCCCUAUGACUUACCAUACACUCAUUCGUGGGUAUUGUAAACUUGAAGAGUUUGACAAGGCUUUGAAGUUGUUGGCUGAGAUGAAGGAUUUUGGCGUUCAACCUAAUGUUGAUGAUUACAAUUAGUUGAUCCAAUCUCUUUGUCUAAAGGCUUUAGAUUGGGAAACAGCAGAGAAGCUGCUAGAGGAAAUGAAAGAGAAAGGAUUGCACCUCAAUGGAAUCACAAAGGGUCUCAUAAGAGCAGUCAAGGAGAUGGAAGAGGAGGAGCUAGUGCUGAGUUCAUAAGUGUGGAGGGCCGGGGGCCUAAAUUGUUUAGCUGGUUGUAGGUAGUAGAUGUGAUACAAAGACACGGAUGGGCCAGUUUUGUAGACUUCACACCCCCCCCCCCCCCUUCAAUGACAUAAAGAGUGAAGCCUUGUGUAUGACUUCUUUGAAGGAUUGCGUUAUAUAUUCCUUCACAUCAGUCAGAUUGACAGAGAAGCUUCAUUUAUUUUUCUUUCUCUAUUAUUUCGCGUCAGUUUUCACUUACAUUCUGUUAAGCAGCCGUCUUAUCCAAGUGAGGGAUACGCAUUCUACACACUGUAGAAACAAUGGUUUUGGUUGCAGCAAUGCAAAUGUCAAGUUUUGUU